GAGCUCAGCUGGUAGAGCACGAGACUCUGAAUCUCAGGCUCGUGGGUUCGAGUCUCCAACGGGAAACA